rnacentral:rRNA from 1 species
CCGGGAGCAGAACAACAGGCAUUGCCCCAGUAACGGCGAGUGAAGCGGCAACAGCUCAAAUUUGAAAUCUGGCCCCUCGGGGUCCGAGUUGUAAUUUGUAGAGGAUGCUUUUGAUGAGGCGCCGCCUGAGUUCCCUGGAACGGGACGCCAUAGAGGGUGAGAGCCCCGUCUGGCUGGCCGCCGAGUCUCUGUAAAGCUCCUUCGACGAGUCGAGUAGUUUGGGAAUGCUGCUCAAAAUGGGAGGUAUAUGUCUUCUAAAGCUAAAUACCGGCCAGAGACCGAUAGCGCACAAGUAGAGUGAUCGAAAGAUGAAAAGCACUUUGAAAAGAGGGUUAAAUAGUACGUGAAAUUGUUGAAAGGGAAGCACUUGUGACCAGACUUGGGCUUGGCGAAUCAUCCGGCGUUCUCGCCGGUGCACUUUGCCUCGUCCAGGCCAGCAUCAGUUCGCCGCGGGGGAUAAAGGCUUCGGGAACGUGGCUCCUCCGGGAGUGUUAUAGCCCGUUGCGUAAUACCCUGCAGUGGACUGAGGUUCGCGCAUCUGCAAGGAUGCUGGCGUAAUGGUCAUCAGUGACCCGUCUUGAAACACGGACCAAGGAGUCGUCUUCGUAUGCGAGUGUUCGGGUGUCAAACCCCUACGCGUAAUGAAAGUGAACGCAGGUGAGAGCUUCGGCGCAUCAUCGACCGAUCCUGAUGUUCUCGGAUGGAUUUGAGUAAGAGCAUACGGGGCCGGACCCGAAAGAAGGUGAACUAUGCCUGUAUAGGGUGAAGCCAGAGGAAACUCUGGUGGAGGCUCGCAGCGGUUCUGACGUGCAAAUCGAUCGUCAAAUAUGGGCAUGGGGGCGAAAGACUAAUCGAACCUUCUAGUAGCUGGUUUCCGCCGAAGUUUCCCUCAGGAUAGCAGUGUUGAUCUCAGUUUUAUGAGGUAAAGCGAAUGAUUAGGGACCCGGGGGCGCUAUUUAGCCUUCAUCCAUUCUCAAACUUUAAAUAUGUAAGAAGC